rnacentral:rRNA from 1 species
UGGGGAAUUUUGGACAAUGGGGCGAAAGCCUGAUCCAGCAAUGCCGCGUGUGUGAAGAAGGCCUUCGGGUUGUAAAGCACUUUUGUCCGGAAAGAAAUCCUUGGCUCUAAUACAGUCGGGGGAUGACGGUACCGGAAGAAUAAGCACCGGCUAACUACGUGCCAGCAGCCGCGGUAAUACGUAGGGUGCAAGCGUUAAUCGGAAUUACUGGGCGUAAAGCGUGCGCAGGCGGUUUGCUAAGACCGAUGUGAAAUCCCCGGGCUCAACCUGGGAACUGCAUUGGUGACUGGCAGGCUAGAGUAUGGCAGAGGGGGGUAGAAUUCCACGUGUAGCAGUGAAAUGCGUAGAGAUGGUGGAGGAAUACCGAUGGCGAAGGCAGCCCCCUGGGCCAAUACUGACGCUCA